ACAAUGGGCGAAAGCCUGAUGCAGCCAUGCCGCGUGAAUGAUGAAGGCCUUAGGGUUGUAAAAUUCUUUCGCUAGGGAUGAUAAUGACAGUACCUAGUAAAGAAGCCCCGGCUAACUUCGUGCCAGCAGCCGCGGUAAUACGAAGGGGGCUAGCGUUGUUCGGAAUUACUGGGCGUAAAGCGCACGUANGCGGACUUUUAAGUCAGGUGUGAAAUCCCAGGGCUCAACCCUGGAANUGCAUUUGAAACUGAAAGUCUAGAGACCAGGAGAGGUUAGCGGAAUACCGAGUGUAGAGGUGAAAUUCGUAGAAAUUCGGUGGAACACCAGUGGCGAAGGCGGCUAACUGGACUGGUACUGACGCUGAGGUGCGAAAGUGUGGGGAACAAACAGGAUUAGAUACCCUGGUAGUCCACACCGUAAACGAUGAUAACUAGUUGUUGGCAGGCAUGCCUGUCGGUGACGCACGUAACGCAUUAAGCUCUCCGCCUGGGGAGUACGGCCGCAAGGUUAAAACUCAAAGAAAUUGACGGGGGCCCGCACAAGCGGUGGAGCAUGUGGUUUAAUUCGAACGAACGCGCAGAACCUUACCUACCCUUGACAUGUCCAGUAUGGUUUCCAGAGAUGGAUUCCUUCAGUUAGGCUGGCUGGAACACAGGUGCUGCAUGGCUGUCGUCAGCUCGUGUCGUGACAUGUUGGGUUAAGUCCCGCAACGAGCGCAACCCUCAUCCUUAGUUGCCAUCACGUUUGGGUGGGCACUCU
rnacentral:rRNA from 1 species